ensembl:lincRNA
AUGCAAUUCCUGCUUUGUCAUCUUUGUUUUGUUUUUGUUUUAUUUCAGAUUAUUUUGGAUACAUUUUUCCUGCAAAAUAAGUCACAUGCAGAGGCCGUGUUUCACUUUUCCUCUUCAACGCCUCUGCCGCUGUGGGCCGCGUCACACACAGUCGCAGGCCUGGCUGGUGCCGAGGAGGUAAUGGCGCCGUUGCCUGCGGUAAGUGACAGCGCUCCAGUGGCGCGGCUCAGGGAUUACCGCUCGAGCGUGAGCAGAUUCCGGCGCGUUCGGAUCCUCUCGAGCAUCGGAGGCACGGACUCGUCAGCCUUCAGGGGUGACAUCGCAGCCGCCUGCCCGGAUCGGCCGCACCCAGGCGGGUCCGGUGAACAUUUUAUGGGUGGUGUGCAGAAAAGGGCGUUUUUGUUCCGUCUCACCUACCUUCAUCUGGUAUCCCUUGGCCUCCCUUGGGCCGUGCGCCUUAAACCUUUCUGGGCGGAGUGGUGGCUCUGUGGCUAAGGAUCUGUGGCUGGAAGGUUGCUGGAUCGUAUCCUGCGGCCGGCAGAGGAAUCCUACCUGGUUGGGCCCCUGAGCAAGGCCCUUAACUGCUCCAGGGGCGCCGUAUAAAUGGCUGACCCUGCGCUCUGACCCCAAGCUUCUCUCUCCCUGUCUGUGUCUCAUGGAGAGCAAGCUGGGGUAUGCAGCCAUAACACCCUGCAAUUCACAACUGGCAACCCACUGAAGCUAAGCGGGCGUGAGCCUGGUCAGUACCUGGAUGGGAGACCUCCUGGGAAUAACUAAGGUUGCUGCUGGAAGAGGUGUUAGUGGGGCCAGCAGGGGGUGCUCACCAUGAGGCUCAUGUGGGUCCUAAUGCCCCAGUGUAGUGACGGGUACACUAUACUGUAAACAGGCGCCGUCCUUCAGAUGAGACGUAAAACCGAGGUCCUGACUCUCUGUGGUCAUUAAAAAUCCCAGGGCAUUUCUCGAAAGGUUUAGGGGUGUACCCCGGCAUCCUGGCCCAAUUUCCCAUUGGCCUUUAUCAAUCAUGGCCUCCUAACAAUCCUAAUAAUCCCCAUCUAUGAAUUGGCUUCAUUACUCUGCUCUCCUCCCCACUGAGAGCUGGUGUGUGGUGAGCGUUCUGGCGCACUAUGGCUGCCGUCGCAUCAUCCAGGUGGGGCUGCAGACUGGUGGUGGUGGAGGGGAGUCCCCAUUACCUGUAAAGUGCUUUGAGUGGAGUGUCCAGAAAAGCGCUAUAUAAGUGUAAGCAAUUAUUAUUAUUAUUAUUGUUAUGCGAAAAGACAAAUUCCUAAUGCAAGAAAUUGUAUAUUGUAUAUCUGAUCUUAAACGUGAGGGUGUCCAGAGUGUCCAGCUGCUUGGGAGGAGACAUCCUCCUGUCGCCCUUCUCCAGAGGCGAGGUCCUGGGUACGUCUCCGACAUGGCAGAUGGCUGAAGGCUGACGGUUCUCGAGAGGAUCCGAACACGCCGGAAUCUGCUCACGCUCGAGCGGUAAUCCCUGAGCCGCGCCACUGGAGCGCUGUCACUUACCGCAGGCAACGGCGCCAUUACCUCCUCGGCACCAGCCAGGCCUGCGACUGUGUGUGACGCGGCCCACAGCGGCAGAGGCGUUGAAGAGGAAAAGAGAGACGCUACCCCUCAGAGGUGUGAAGCAGGUUACACUCCGUACUCUCCCCAGCCUCACUUCUGAAGGGGAUUUUCUGAUUAACCGCAAAUUUGAUGGGUCUAUAAGAACAAAAAAACUCGCAAUUUCAAAUACAAAAACCAAUAAUUAUCGAUUCCAAGAUAUGGUGGGAUGAAAAGACGAUUAUAAUUGGGACUGUGAAAUGUAUUAAAGGCAGAUGCCCUCACCUAUUGAUGCAUAAUUGUCUGACGCAACUCCACACUGUUCUCUCUAGAUCACAGCUGGUUAAGGGCUGUUGUUUCCUUGCUUUGAGCUGCCUGCUCAUUAGGCAGUAAGUGAGUCCAUCUCCAGAAAGGCAGGCUGAUACACAGGCCCUUUGCGGAAAUCAAUAGUAGGGUUUAGAGCUGUGUCCCAACACCGCAGGCGAGCCAACCAUAGCUAAUGAAAGCCGAGCUGCCCCUGGGUACGCAGGGAUUAUAUCUAAUUGUCUGCGUCUAACAACAUCAGCACUCCAGCCAGCCUAAUUUCCCUUUUAAUUUAAAAAGUGCCCUCUUGGAUAGCUCUGCUGGAGAAAAAAACAGCACUUAAAGGAGGGAGACGCUGUGCACUGUAGGCAUUGUAACUCAGAGGUCCCCAUGAAGACACUUCAUCUGUGAAGCUCACUCUGGCCUUUCAUUUCACUGCUUCAGUCGGUGUGUACUGGAGUAAAAACAGAAGAAGAACGAGAGACUUCUAAGGGAGUCACAGAAACACGAGACAUCACCUAUGUCACUCACUUACACCAGAUUCUUGAACAAAGUGCGAUUUUUUAUUUAAAAAAAAAAUCAGAGUGACAUGAAACUGCGUCUUGCUUUGGAGCGUAGAAAAGGAUUCGGCUUUGAUUUCACAGAUGAAUUCUUAGGGAGUGCGGGGAAAAAAAUCCUUUAAGAUUCAACAGCCAAUAUUUGCAGAAAUGAACAAACGAUAAAACCCACAAGUCCGUUUCGCCUUAGAUCCUGUGUUUGACUGUCACGGUGCAAAGAAAGCUGCUUUAUUCCUUAAGCACGGGGAAGCAGAGAACAAAAGCUCUGUACAUGCAUCACUGCAAUUACAUGACAUUGAUAUUGCGGUGAUAUUGCACCCUUGUUCCUACUGAGCUCUGCACACCCAGUUGCUUUCAAGUCUUAACUUUGCAUGCGAUUAAGUAAGAUCUCCCAAUGCAACGUUCUAAAAAAAUUCAAACAUUGUCAUGAGCAUCAGAGGCAGACGAGAAACAGGCCUGAAUGUAAUUUUCAUGCUACAGAGUGCGAUCAGGAGGCGGUGCACUAAACGCAGCUGUACUGGGAAGCAGUAGAUGACACAUAGGUGCUUUUUAUUGAUAACCCCUGUAUCUGAAAUUGCUUUUUCUAAGUCCUGCUACGACCCUUGUACCAACCAUGGGCUCCAGGGAGUGUGCACACCUUUCUUCUGAAGAGCUCACUUGUCAGAGCCAUUUGCCAUUUUACAGACUGCAAGCUCCACAGUGCUGGUGGUGGGGUUGGCCCUAUCUGGGGGAGAGGUGGAGCUCUGAAUGUCUCUAACCCAGUCUAGCAGAGCUGUGCACUUCAAACGCCUGGCUUUACUGGCUGGGCUGCUUCAGGUUGCCCAGAAGGGAUGUCACAUCGGGGGGGGUCAAGGGUGCUUUUCACGGGAAUCUGUUGUAGGAUCACGGAUUGGGCCGGUGAAAGCAGACCGAGCACAAUCCAAAAAUCAAUGGCCAUCACUGCUUCGGCUUUUAUAUUUUGUGAGAUUCCUUUUUUUUUUUAAAAGCCAGAAGGUGUGUGGAGUGAUUGAAAUCCAACCGGUUUUGUGUUCUUAGUUUUGCAGGUGCGUGCGAGUAAGUUUUGAUAGAUGGAGUAAAAGUUGAAUGUAGAGGUCAAUAAGAUGAGGCAGUUUUAUUGAGACCAGGUCCUAAAUCAUGUAGCUAGAGCAGGGGUCAGAAGGCUCUCUGAAUGCCUCAGCUCAUCACUUUCUUUCAAUUUUCCCAGAAAGAAACGUUCACUUGUCACUUUUUUGAGGCACGUUAUUGUCCCUUUUCAAACCAGCAGUUUUUAUUUUAAAAAAAUAUUCUUCUUUUUCUUGAUCAAAACACACACGUUGCCUACUUGUGCCUUUCAGUUGGGAGUCUUUUAAAAUGCAAAUGUUCUCUGUUAUGCUGUAAUGACUUUUCAGAAGUAGCCAAAAAAUGGAGAAAAAAAAACAGGAUGAAAUGGAACAUUUCUGAAAAGAUAAGGAAAAGCAAAUGCCACAGUGAGUUCUGUCUGAGGAAGCAGUGCUGCUUUUUGAAACUGUACAGGGACCUUCGAUUGCUUCAAAUUAGACGUGUUUGAAGUUCCUCUAGCCCAGCAUUAACACCACAGCUUCAGAAAUAUAUGGACGGACUCCAUUCAGCUCCAUCACGUCUUGGGCCUGUCUGUUAAGGCUUCUAGGAGAGGAGGAGAAGGAACAGGAGAUAUAUAUAUACAGUAUGUAGCGGUGUGCGUGAAUUAUGAAUAAUCGUGCCUGAGAUUACUGUCGAUAUGGAAGUGGGCCGUAAGAAGAUAGGAAAGCGAUUAUUAGACGCUAAGAUAAGAUCACUUUAUUAGCCCUAUACAAUUUCUUGCAUUAGGAAUUUGUCUUUUCACAUACCCCAGCUUGCUGUCCAUGAGACACACAGACGGUUUUUGUUUGCUUGGAUCUUUAUUUGUUUUUCAUCUGGGGGGACCUGUGUUUUGAUUAAGGAGCGCUUACGGGAGGACGAUACCAAUUGAAGAGAGCAUUAGACUUGAUUCAGUAUCCGUGCGUAAAGGGCCCCCUGUGCAUCAAAUGCCUACACACCUAUCCCGCCCUGAAGCUCCUAUCUCCUGAUGUCGGAGCUGUGCAAAGUGAGUGGAAGUAACAUAACAUCAUAACAUCACUUUAUUAGCCCUAUACAAUUUCUUGUAUUAGGAAUUUGUCUUUUCGCAUACCCCAGCUUGUUCUCCAUGAGACACACAGACAGUGAGAGAAGCUUUGGGGUCAGAGCGCAGGGUCAGCCAUUUAAACAGGGCCCCUGGAGCAGUUGGGGUUAAGGGCCUUGCUCAGAGGCCGAACGGAUUAGGAUUGCUCUGCAGGCCACGGGAUACGAACCGGCAACCUUCCAGCCACAGGUGCAGAUCCUUAGCCACAGAGCCUUAAAUAAGGACCGAGACGCUAUCUCCAAAGGAAACCUCAAAUCUAAUUAAAAUGUGUUGGGAAACCUUGAGAGGCAAGAAAGUUUUGUUGAUAACACUUCAGGGGCAGCACUGGAGGGGUUCCUCUCAAACAGGACAUGCGCCGUGUGUGUUCCGUCUUCCCAAGGGGCAGGCUGGUGGGUUUCGGCCAGGGGCCCCGUCGUAGCCACUCGACCUGUCUUCACGAGGGGCACGCCAUGUGCAGGCUGGGUUCUCAAGGCUGACGUGGGCCGGGAGGUCACCCAGGGGUCGCAGCGGUCUGAAUACGUUGGCAGGGGCACCUUCUCUGCGGUUCGGGGAGAACAGACUCACCUCGACUCUUGUGCUCAUUUGAAAUUUAAUUCCGUGCAGCACCGAUCUCCCUGCAGUCUCAGGUCGUUUUUUUUUUUCACCUCAUUGCCACUUCGCACACAUUCGAUUUGUUGAAUCUUUGUCUGAACUUUCACCAGCCGUUAAGGUUGAUUUAAAACCAAAAGUUUGAAAAAUAAGAAAAGUGGUGAAAGUGUGAUAAAAAUAAAAUGUUACACUGAUGUUUGUUUCUUUCCAGGGCGACUGAUUUCAAAGCCCUGAUAUACCGUCACAGUAAGCCGCCUGCGUUUCUUAUCUAAUGGAGUGAUGUCUUCAUAAAGAAAGGAUUUCAA